CCUACGGGGGGCUGCAGUGGGGAAUAUUGCACAAUGGGGGAAACCCUGAUGCAGCAACGCCGCGUGAGCGAUGAAGGCCUUCGGGUCGUAAAGCUCUGUCCUAAGGGAAGAAUACUGACGGUACCUUAGGAGGAAGCCCCGGCUAACUACGUGCCAGCAGCCGCGGUAAUACGUAGGGGGCUAGCGUUAUCCGGAAUUACUGGGCGUAAAGGGUGCGUAGGCGGCCCGUCAAGUCAGAGGUGAAAGGCUAAGGCUCAACCGUAGUAAGCCUUUGAAACUGUAGGGCUUGAGUGCAGGAGAGGAGAAGGGAAUUCCCAGUGUAGGGGUGAACUGCGUAGAUAUUGGGAGGAACACCACUUGGGAAGGCGGCACUCUGGACUGUAACUGACUCUGAGGCACGAAAGCGUGGGGAGCGAACACGAUUAGAUCCCCUAGUAAUC
rnacentral:rRNA from 1 species